CUCCAAGAGUCACAGUCCCCAGUGGGACCUGUUUGCCCAGCUCUCAAUCCUACAUUAAAGGAGCCGAGAGACUUGACCAGGGGACUCUGCUUCAUCGCCCCCACAAAGGCAACCUAGUCUAGGCCUGAGGUUCCAGAAUCCACCCAUUUACUUUGGCCCCUAAAACCAGCAGCAAAACAAGAGCUGAGGCCAUUCCUACACAGCACCCCAUCCCCUAC
rnacentral:lncRNA from 1 species